GCCAGUUCAGCUUGUUACAGCAUGGUGUUGAUAACGCCAAGGUUGCAGGUUCAAUCCCUGUAUGGGACA